rnacentral:tRNA from 1 species
AGUUAAUAAGCUUUAAAGCAAAUAUUUUGAAAAUAUUUUUUAGAUAUAAAUUUAUCUAUUAACUU